UACCAGCACCCCGAGUGGUCGGGACGAUUAUUGGGCCUAAAGCAUCCGUAGCCGGUUCUACAAGUCUUCCGUUAAAUCCACCUGCUUAACAGAUGGGCUGCGGAGGAUACUAUGGAGCUAGGAGGCGGGAGAGGCAAGCGGUACUUAGUGGGUAGGGGUAAAAUCCGUUGAUCCAUUGAGGACCACCAGUGGCGAAGGCGGCUUGCCAGAACGCACUCGACGGUGAGGGAUGAAAGCUGGGGGAGCAAACCGG
rnacentral:rRNA from 1 species